GACGGAGGGUGCGAGCGUUGUUCGGAAUUACUGGGCGUAAAGCGCGCGCAGGUGGGUGCGUAAGUCGGAGGUGAAAGCGCAGGGCUCAACCCUGCGACGCCCUUCGAGACUGCGUGUCUAGGGACCGGUAGAGGUGAGUGGAAUUCCCGGUGUAGCGGUAGAAUGCGUAGAUAUCGGGAAGAACACCGGAGGCGAAGGCGGCUCACUGGGCCGGAUCCGACACUGAGGCGCGAAAGCGUGGGGAGCAAACAGG
rnacentral:rRNA from 1 species